GCAGGCAAUGGAAUUGUUUGUUCUUAAUUUCACAGCUGCCCACGGCAGUGUUGCUUUGGGGGAACUCUCCGGAAGCCCCGUCUGAAAACUGUCUCAAAAUUACAUCAUCCAGGAGAGCAUUCCCCAACCUCAUUUUUAACAGCACGAAACUGAAACUGACUGCAGUCUGCUUGGGCUGAAAGCAAAGGAGUGGACCUUUUCUUGUAGCUCCAGGGAGCCGACCUUGGCAGAUGCAGAGGCAAGAGGAGAAGGCGUGCUGCAGCAUCCAGGAGAGAAGAGAAGGGGACAGACACAGAGACAUAGAGGAGAAGCUGCAAGAGGUGCAGGCAGAGACUGGAAUGACGCAUCUACAAGCCAACCAAUGCCGAGAACUGCCAAAGGCCGCAAGAAGCCGGGAGCGAGGCCUGGACCAGAUUCUCUCUUGGAACUCCCAGAAGGAAUUAACCCUGAGGAUACCUGACUUCGGACUUCUGGCCUCCUAAAGUGUAAGAGACCCCUUCCAGAAGGACACAGCCACAGCUGCCGGCUCUAGCUGGGAUCAUCCACAGAGAAGGCUGACACAUCGAGGGCUGAGCCCUUUUGGAGGAAAAUCCUUGAGUAUGUUGAUGUCAGGGGACAGGAGGUUGGGGCCUUGGCCCAACAGGGAGACCAGGGAACGAAAAGGGGUGAGUACAGCCACCAGCAAUCCA